UGCUGCCAUAUCGUGCUGAAAGCGCCGGUUGUCAUCUGACCCCAGCAAUUAAGCAGCGUCGAGAGCGGUCAGUACUUGGGAGGGUGACUACCAGAGAACACCGCGUGCU